GACGAACGCUGGCGGCGUGCUUAACACAUGCAAGUCGAACGAAGUGGCGAACGGGUGAGUAACGCGUAAUCAACCUGCCCUUCCGAGGGGGACAACAGUUGGAAACGACUGCUAAUACCGCAUACUGCGGGCGGGGCUUGCGUCUGAUUAGCUAGGUGGAGGGGUAACGGCCCACCAAGGCGAUGAUCAGUAACCGGUCUGAGAGGAUGAACGGCCACAUGGGGACUGAGACACGGCCCAGACUCCGACGGGAGGCAGCAGUGGGGAAGCUUCCGCAAUGGACGAAAGUCUGACGGAGCAACGCCGCGUGAGUGAUGACGGGUUGCGGGUUGUAAAGCUCUGUGAAUCGGGACGCGGUACCGGAAUAGAAAGCCACGGCUAACUACGUGCCAGCAGCCGCGGUAAUUC
rnacentral:rRNA from 1 species